rnacentral:lncRNA from 1 species
GGACACGGCAAUGUGGACCUCGCCGCUUCCACAACGAUGCUGGCUACUGAUCGCGUGCACUUCCUUGCCAAAGAAAAGAAAUUAAUGUUAUGACUGGAUGAAGACAAUUGUGAAGAAACUGCACUUUGAGGUUGUCUAUCUCUGUAUUCUGAUGGAAAAGCGUGGAGUUUAGAAGCACUGCUCACUCCUUCAGUUUCUAACAAGUUUGAGACUAUGGUUAGGUGGUGAGGAAGGCAGGCUCAGCACCCAAGCCUUGGGGAGACGCAGAAAGGGCCCAUCCCAGGCACUCAGGUGGAGUAAAACUGAUGCUCCAGAAAGAUGCCCAGGGAGAUUCUGUCCUGCUGCGUCCGCACUGUACAGAACUGACGCUGUGCCUACGCCCGUUUCAGAAGCGUGGAGUACUUAAGAGUUAAUCUAAAAAAGCAAAUAUAAAAAUGGAUUCAAAAAAA